GUGAAUCAUCAAAUUUUUGAACGCAAAUUGCACUCUCCCCGGAGAGUAUGCCUGUUUAGGGUCAGCCUAUAAAAAAUCGACAUCGUUGCUGGUUCGCGGUGGCGUUCGUCGGAAAUUGGGUCAACUUAAAUCCUUUUGGUUUAAGCGACUUAAAAUUUUCUUUUUGUUCCAUUAACGUUUCUUAGAUCUAUUUCUUUACACCUUUUAGGUAUCGAUUUUUACUUGACGUUACCCUCAUAUAGGAUC
rnacentral:misc_RNA from 1 species